CUUUGACCUCAAAUCAGGUAGGAUUACCCGCUGAACUUAAGCAUAUCAAUAAGCGGAGGAAAAGAAACUAACAAGGAUUCCCCUAGUAACUGCGAGUGAAGCGGGAAGAGCUCAAAUUUAAAAUCUGGCGGCUUCUAGUCG
rnacentral:rRNA from 1 species